rnacentral:lncRNA from 1 species
GUUGGUCAUUGUCAUUGUCGUCGCCAUUGUCCUUGUCGCCAUAGGCAUAGGCGUCUUCACUGCCAAAAGCGUGCGUUGGACGAUAGGGGACAGUGUCGCCGCAGCCAUACAGUGUGUGAUCACUACCGAUAGGGCCACCGUCAAAGAGAUCGGCAACAUCCUGCGCGCUGUCGGGCGUGCCCAACUGUCGCCAUUGGUCGCUUACGUGCGCAUCGUCCGUGUGGGGAACUGACCAGUGCUGGCCGGUGGCGCGGUCGCCGGCGGCCACCCACGCGCGCCGCAGGGCCGUCGUCCAUGCGUCCGAGGCCGGCCACCGGCCGUCAGCAAAAGUCGCGGCGCCGUCGUGUGCGCCGGUGCGUGGCCUGCUUCCAGAGGCGUCCCACGGCCCAUAGACCUCGGCGGCGACAAAGGCGCCCAUGUCGCAGAGCAGGGCCGGGUCGAUGCGCGCCGGUCCGAUGAGGUCGCUCUCGGGCGCGUGCGGGAUCGUGGCACGGCGCCGACGCGCGGCAGCCGAGGGCGGCGCCACGCGGUGCGCGUCGCGCGGGUCCAACACCAGCCCGGCCACAUCGGGCACGCACGCCACCACGUUGGCCUCCAACUGACACUGGCCCGCGGCCAUGGCAAAGUGACCGUCGGCGUGCGCGCCGCCGGCCCAUCCCGGCCCCCACGCGUGCCGCGCGAUCCAACACGUGUGCCGUGAGAGCCUGGCCGUGGCCGAUCCAUGCACCAUCGCGUCCUCAUCAAGGGCGGCCGACGGCGGUGGCGGGAGCCACGCCUCGCACCAGCCCACGAGCACGACGGCGUGGCCGCCAAAGGCGCGCGGGCACGCCGUUGGAUCGUGCCGGUACACGCCGCCGACCCAACUGGCCGGAUGGCGCUCCGGGUACAUAAAGUCCUCGUGCAGGGCAAAGGCCGACGCCACGGGACCCCAGGCAAAGAUCUCGGCCUUGACGUCCAUCUCUGCAGACGACGCCAGCGCAUAGUGGGCCAGCGGCCGACAGCGCCAGCCACCCGCGCACGACACGCCGCCCACGUAGAGGGCCUCGGCGGCGCCCGCCAGCGUGUGGCCAUAGUCGGCGUGGCGGCCCCCGUGGUGGACCUCGUUGGCCGAGACGACGUCGGCCUCGGCCUCGCUCUGCGCCUCGGUGAGGGCGUCGAAAUCGCGGUCGACAAUGUCGCGCGGCGCGAGGCCGCCAAACACGCCCGGCCGCGAGAUCCCGUCGGGCCACGCGCGCAUGGCGCCGUGCGUCCACAGCGCCGCGCGGUCGCCAAACGCCGACACCACGGCAAACGCCCAGCACGCGCCCGACAGGCCCUGAUCGUGCGGCGGCGCCAGGAGCCGGCCCCACCUGCGGCGGCCGUCGAAUUGCGCCGGCAGGGAGAGCGCGCCCUCGGCGUCGCCCGCCCACACGGCGCCCGUGUCCAGCGGCAGGCGACCGGCCGGGUCGGCGGCGCGCGCCAAUUCGCGCCACGGCCGCACCAGCGGCAGCGAGGCGUACUCGCGCGCCGCCGCCAGCGACGACCCGCGCAGGAUGGUAAAGGCCGGUCGCGGACCCGGCGACGCAGCGGGCUCUGCGUCGACCACGGGCACGACGACUGCCGCUGUCGCAAAGGUCGCGACGCUGGCGAUUGGCGCCAGCGGUGUUGCGGGCGGCAGAGGAGGCUGAUGGGCGGCGACAUCGGACGGCGGUCUCCACGGUCUCGGUUCAUGUUGUGGUUGCCAUUGGUGCGGGUGCGAGGGCAAUGACGAUGACAACGGUGGCGGCGGCGGGGUCGAGGAUGGCGGUUGGGGGAGCGGAUCGUGCGGCGGCUGCGGGUGCCAUGAAAAGGCGCGCCGACGUCGCCGACUACGGGCGCCGCCGAAAUCGCUGGCGUCUGUCUCUUUGUCACUGUCGGACAAGAGGAUCGUGUCUGCAGAGGGCGACGAUGAUUCAGACGACGACAACGACGUUGACCGCGAAGAUAAUGUCGGGGACGACAGAGGCGACGACAGAGGCGACGACGACGGGGAUGAUGACGAGGAUGAUGACGAUGACGACGACAGGGUCGAUAGGAACGUGUCGCUGGCGGUCGUGGCCGUGCUGGUGGUCGUUGUGGUGGUGUCAUCGGUCGAUCGCGGUGGGCGCCGUCUCUUGGGGUGGCGCCGCACGGGGCGCCGGUGCCGGCGAUCGCGGUUGCCGAGCCCCAUGGUUUCCUCCAAGCGGGCGCCGUCCUCGCGUGCGCGCCAACAGUUUUCGUGCGAGCAGUACCGGAACUCGAGGUCAGCGCGGUGCGCGCGCGAUCUCUCUUUUUUUUGUCGGCUCCCUUUCCCUUGUUCUUUUUUAGCCCUCCCUUGCCCUUGCCCCACCGAAAAAAAAAUUUUUUUCCAAUUUAAAA